rnacentral:pre_miRNA from 1 species
GGAUUGUGGGGCAUCACUCUAGGCCCCGCAGCACUGUGCUGGGGUUGUUGCAGCUGCCUGGGAGUGACUUCACGCAGUCCUC